AGGCGUGCUAGCCCAAGAAAUCUGUGACCCCAGGCCUUGAAGGAAGGGGCACCUAUCGGUGUCACCCCAGGUUCCAUAAUCCUGACCCCGGGUCUCCCUCCGCUGGCAGGCUCUGAGCAAGGCCUGCCCAGAGAACAUGGAUGACGAGCUCUCGAUCCUGCUGACAGCACCCCCCAGCACAGACAAACUCCAGCACAUCUUGGAGGUGCUGAAGACACAAUGGAAGAGGAAAUCCUUUGGCCUGGAUUGAAAUUAUUCUGACUGAAAGUGAAUGAGAGAAAAUAGGUCCAGAGUUCUCUUCCUAGCAGCAGAAAAUGUAGCGAUUGAUAGAGGUUCAGGUCAGAAAGGACCAUUAUGUGCAUCUAGUCACCCCUCCUGUACAACUCAGGGCCUAGAAUGUGACCA